CAUAUGCGUGAUGACGUCCAUUUUUUCUGGAGGGACUGUAGUCGGCGUUGUAUACUAGUCUUGCGUAUGACAGUUGGCAAAAGCAAGUAGGAUAUCUUUCACUAUAAACAACCAGAAAUGUUAACAUCUAUGAUGAAGCAACUGAACGUGGAGCGAGAACAUCCUGCGGGUGCUGGAUCCUAGAGCGAGAGUGAGUACUGGCCCUGUCUUUUUUUCACCAGCGCCUCCUAUGCUGACCUGCUGCCCUGCCAGUUUGCAAGGCUGUGAGAGUAAGAGUUUGGCGGUAGAGGUGGGUGAGGAGGGUUGGGGUAUCUGACAACCAGAGGGAGGACACUGACAGCCCAGCCAGAUGUCCUCGCCCUUCGUGCCUGUACCUGUCUCCAUCAGAGAUAGGACCCUGCCAGGGGCCAAUGGGAAGCCCAGGCGGGGCCCUCAGAGGACCUCAUCUUUGAACAGUGUCUCCAGCAGCUCUGAGUCCUCCUCCACUAGAGGCCCCGGGGAUGAGAUCCUGGGCCCUGGCCGUGACCCUGGGAGGAGAGGGAAUCGAGUCGGAGGGCCUCGAUCCCAAAGCUCAGAGAGAGGCUGCUGCUUCACUUCUCCACCCUCCCUGUUGCAGUGUCAGAGCCCAGUGACCCGGGCCAGGCUGAACGGGCUGGGGCUGGACCCCACGGUGGAGUACUCCACCUCCUCCCGGACGAACAUGGAUCAGGAAUCACCACCAGGACCUCCAGGGUCCUCAGCCUGGGAAGAGAGGCCCAUCACCCCCACCGUGCUAGGCUACGAGGUCAUGGAGGAGCGGGCCAAGUUGACGGUGUAUAAGGUCCUGGUGAGGAAGACUCAGAAUGAAAGUUGGGUGGUUUUCAGAAGAUACACUGACUUCUCCAGACUCAACGACAAGCUAAAGGAGAUGUUCCCAGGGUUCAGACUGUCUCUGCCUCCAAAGCGCUGGUUCAAAGACAACUACAACUCUGACUUCCUAGAGGACAGACAGCUGGGCCUGCAGGCCUUCCUACAGAACCUGGUGGCACACAAAGACGUUGCCAACUGCAUAGCAGUGCGAGAGUUCCUGUGUUUAGAUGAUCCACCAGGUCCUUUUGACAGUCUGGAGGAGAGCCGGGCAUUCUGUGAGACUCUGGAGGAGAGUAACUAUCGUCUGCAGAAAGAGCUGGUUGAGAAGCAGAGAGAGAUUAGCUCCCUCAAGAAGAGACUGGAGGAGAAGGACCGUCACAUCCACCUUCUGGAGAAGCGCCUCAGCGGGAGUCUCUGACCCCAGAGAGCCAGAGUGGGUUGUCAGCUCAGGGCAGUGAUAGCAGCGUAGACGCAGAUGGAGACGUGGAGUCAUCAACCGCCGAGGCAGACCAGGACAUUAUGUCAGAGGAGAACGGGAAGUGUGAGGCCCACCCGUCUCUGCGUCUCUCAGGGUGUUGGUGUGGGCCUGCCACAGGCAGCUCUCCGCCUGUCAUCGAGGUGACCCAGGUGUGUGACGCUCGGCUGGAGCACUGAGCCACCUGGGACAACUCUGCUCUUCCCUCAAUUCACCCCCUCCUCCCUCCUUCAUGACUGUGAUCACUGUUACUCAAGGAUCUUGGGACUGAAACAUUCUGAGGAUGGGGCUUUGGACGUGACACCCCCUUCCAAACAUUGUUUAGUUUGUUGGCAGGAUAGUUGAUCAACCCCCUGCCUUGCUGCUCAUUUAGACUUCCACAGACCCUGGCCACUGUUUUUCAGAGAGAAUAUGAAUUGGGUGGGGGCACUUUAUUCAGUAACACCCCCAGGUCAUCCCAGCUGCCAGUUAAUCUGACUGGACUCAAUGAUACUGACAGGAGCAGAGUAGGGACACUUUAUCCCGUAACACUCCUUCAAUGGUUGAUUUGUCCCCAUGAAGUUGUGUAUCGAGUAAUUGAGGGACCUUGCAUAGACCUGCAAGGACACUUUACUAUGAAAAAAUAAUAAUAAUAAUAAAAAAAAUGUUUUAACUGAGGGCAGUCCUCAGAUUCACCUAGUCCAUUUGCUAAUCAAAGCUUGAAGACUAUACAUCCAACUCAGAAUGGUGCAAUCAGACCACGUAGGAGGAAUGCAUACAUCUAAUGAACUGGUAACUGUAGCUAGUACUGUAGUUCAUUAGUUUAGUUCUUGGGGUUAGUUGGUUCCACACCUUCUGUAUGAAACAGGUUUCCAGAGCCCCCAGAUCCUGUGGUCUCCCAGCCAAAGAGUGGAUGUGUCUGGAAUGACACCCUAUAUAGAACAGAGCCAUAUGGGUCCUGGUCAAAAGUAGUGCACUGAAUAGCCGAUAGGGUGCCUUUUCAGACACAACCAAAACCUGGAGAGGGACUCGAACACCACCUUAAAGCCGAUUGGAUAAUUGGGUCUUGCAAUAUGAUGAACCAUAUGAAAAUCCAUAGACCGAGAAAUGGAACCUCGCAAAGCUUGACUACUACAGCACCUCUGCAUCAGCGAAACAACACCACCCUGUGGCUAUAGUAGGUAUGGCCACAGACGAUGACUGGACAAGGCGCAUGGGAAUAUUCUGCCGGUCAAUGAUGUGUUCAAGAUGGCAGGGAUUAACAUGCCAUUUCCUGUUAUUAUAAAGGUCAAGGCUGUUAUGGGGUGGUUGGCAGAUAUUUGGAGAAUGAUAGAGCUCAUAUGUUUUAGCUUGUCUACUAAUAUUGUCCUUGUAGUCACAUCUCAUUGCUUUAUACUGCCCAUCUGGCAUACAGUAUCUUCAACAAAAGUAGAACAGAAAGUAUUUGUGGGGGUGGUACAUCAAAUACAUGUUUUGUGUGUUAUUUUGGUUCUGUGAUAGUUUAGAUUUGACCCUACACAUUGUUGAACUGACAUUUUGUUGAUUUGCCCCCGUUAUGUUUGAUGUCAUGCGUUGCUUGCACUACUAAACCUCGUCAUCUCUGAAUGUCUAAACAUAGAGUGAACCUUAACAUAUCAGUCUACGGGCCCCGUUUGGAGAGAGCAUUGACAUCCUUAGCGUUCAGACACCUCUUGUUUAUCAUGUCAGUCCCACAUUCCAUGAAAUAAUAUCUUUUAUGCCCAUGUUAACCUAAUUUCUACACUAAGAAAUGUAUUUUGCCUAAAUACAUUAGGAGAAGAACCCCAUUGAAAACAGACAAAUGUGGCUGAAUGCUACAUGCCAGAGUCAUAAAGAGAUACUGUAUAUUGCUCUGCUAUUCAUGUUCAAAAGGACAAAAUAUAUAUUUUUUAAUUGUCCACUGAUACAUGCCGAUAUGAUUGGUGGAUGGAAUCAUGAAUAUAUCAACGUUGAGAAGAAUGACCCCUGUCUGCAUGGAAUCGGUUUCCUCAAACUUACCAGACCACUAUCACUGACCUCACUGCCUGUGAACUACGGGUAUUCAAAUCCUAGAAUUAAGGAUUCCAUUCUAUGGUUCCGGCUCCCUUGUGAAUGUCACUUUUGUCUUUGUGAAUGCAUGCGAGAGAGAAUAUAUUGACCACACUCAAUCACGAUAAGCCAUAAUCUGAGCACAUUGAGUGUACACUAACAUCCCAAAAAGCAAUACUCAAUACAGUACAAUGUAUACACUGAGUGUACAAAACAUUAAGAACACCUUCCUAAUAUUGAGUUGCACCCCUUUUUGCCCUCGGAACAGCCUCUUUGUCAGGACAUGGACUCUACAAGGUGUCAAACGUUCCACAGGGAUGCUGACUCCAAUGCUUCCCACAGUUGUCAAGUUGGCUUGAUGUCCUUUAAGUGGUGGACCAUUCUUGAUACAGUGUGGAAAAACCCAGCAGCGUUGCUGUUCUUGACACAAACCAGUGUGCCUGGCACCUACAACCAUACCCCGUUCAAAGGCAUUUAAAUAUUUUGUUUUACCCAGUCACCUCCCUGAAUGGUGCACACACAAUCCAUGUCUCUAGGCUUAAAAAAUCCUUCUUUAACCUGUUUCCUCUCUUCAGCUACACUAAUUUAACAGGUGACAUCAAUAAGGGAUCAUGGCUUUCACCUGGAUUCACCUGGGCAGACGUCAUGGAAAGAGCAGGUGUUCUUAAUGUUUUGUGCACUGUGUGUAUAGUUCAAUGGACUGAGUACACCAUUUCUCAAAAUGUCACAUGUUGGUGUGUUUUGUUUCUUGUUAUGAGCUGAGAGCUUUCACAGACAGCUUUAGCUCCUAUCUCUAUUGCAGAGUUUAUGUUUGGGACAUUGCCAGUAGUGGCUGUAUGAUGCACUUUAUGUAUGUACUGUAUGACAUAGGAGCAUGUUGCUAGCUUGGUUAGCAUAGCCUCCAUUUUAUAACAGCUUAUUUGAAGCAGAGUGCCUUUUCUGUUGUUUUUUGUUGUUUUUUCAUACACGCUGCGUAGCUUUCCAUAUUACUUGUGGUUGAUGUUGGCUCAAUGUUCAUCCCACAUAUUUGUGUAGUCCCUCAAACUAAUUUGAAGUGCCUUGAGUUUCUGCCACUUGCUUUUGAUAUUGCUCUAGUCCACUUUUAGCUCCAUAGAUUUUAGUGUGAAAUGUGAAGAGAGAAAAAUGAUCAUAGAAUUAUUUUUGAUGGAAAUAGGUUUAAAUUACAUUUCCUUUUGUUUUGAACUAGUUUUAGUGUCACGUUAAAGUUGAACACAUGGCUAGUGUCCUGUGGACAAAAUCAAGUAUGAGCUGUGGUUGGUAUGUAACAACUGUUAUUAAAAUCAAUGUGAUUUGUUGUCGGAA